AUAUAAUUCCCAAAAGUUCUAUUUUAGGAAAGUUUUCAUUUUCUAUACAAAUAUUGUAGAUUUGGGGUUGUGAUUUAGAAAUUAGGAUAACAAUAUUUUUUUGUUGAUAGAUGAGUACUUUUUUAGAUUUUUUGAUCAAUAGGUUGUAUAUUUUAGAUAAAAUUCUCAAAAAUUGUAUUUUUGAAAAGUUUUCAUUUUUAUAGCGAAAUAUUGUAGAUUUGGGGUUGUGAUUUAGAAUUUAGGAUAACAAGAAUUUUUGUUGAUAGAUGAGUUUUCUUUUAAAAGUUUUGAUCAAUAAGUUGUAUGUUUUAGAUAAAAUUCUCAAAAAUUCUAUUUUUGGAAAGUUUUCAUUUUUGUGAAUAAUAAUAUUGUGGAUUUGGGGUUUUGAUUUAGAAAUUAGGAUAACAAGAAUUUUUGUUGAUAUAUGAGUAUUGUUUUAGAUUUUUCGAUCAAUAGGUUGUAUACUUUAGAUAAAAUUCUCAAAAAUUAGAUUUUUUCUUAUAUGUUAUAUUUUGAAUUUUUUUAAAUGACUUUAAAUUACAAAAAUGAGGAAACCAUAUAUGUUUUUUUUUAAACCGACUUUAAAAUACAAAAAUGAGGACACCUUAUAUGUUAGAUUUUUUCUUAUAUGUUAUAUUUUGAAUUUUUUAAAACAAAUUUAAAUUACAAAAAUGUAAGUUUUCCUUAAGUAUACUACUAAAAACAUUAAAAUGACAUGUAUCAGUUCGAUGGUUGAUUUGAAAGAUUUCAAAACCAUAUGUAAGUUAAAAGUCAAAAUAAUUCAAUCGUGAAAACAAUACUAUUCACUUUUUCAAAAUUGUGUUCGUGGAAAAAAAUAAGGUUUUUAUGUCAUAAUUUGUUUAAUGUCCACUAGAGAACAUUAUAUUAACCUAAAAUAUAAGAAAUGUGUAUUCGUUCCCUAAAUAAAAGCUACGAAAUUAUCUAAUAUGAUUUACAUAUAUAUGGCAAUUAAUGAUUAUGAAUAAUAAAGAUUUGAUAACAAUUUUUGCAUCCUUCUUCAUUUUGUUUAAUUUUAUAUUAUUAAAAAAAAUAAACAAUCGCAUUAACCAUAUAAUAAAAAAUUAGAUUUUUUCUUAUAUGUUAUAUUUUGAAUUUUUUUAAAUGACUUUAAAUUACAAAAAUGAGGAAACCUUAUAUGUUAUUAUUUUUUUUUAAAAACGACUUUAAAAUACAAAAAUGAGGACACCUUAUAUGUUAGAUUUUUCUUAUAUGUUAGAUUUUUUCUUAGAUGUUAUAUUUUGAAUUUUUUAAAACGACUUUAAAUUACAAAAAUGUAAGUUUUCCUUAAGUAUACGACUAAAAACAUUAAAAUGACAUGUAUCAAUUCGAUGGUUGAUUUGAAAGCUUUCAAAACCAUAUGGAAGAUAAAAGUCAAAAUAAUUCAACUGUGAAAACAAUACUGUUCAAUUUUUUCAAGAAUGUGUUCGAUGGAAAAAAUAAAGUUUUUAUGUCAUAAUUUGUUUAAUGUCCAAUCCGAUUAACCCAUGAUGUAUUAAUUAUAGUUUUGUUCCACUAUUUUUAAUAAAAAUUGAUCCGAUCCAUAGGAAAGAAAUUAUAUAAUAACAACAAAAAAUAUUUUAUAUAUAUAAAUAAAAUGAUCACAUAUAUAAAAAAAACUAUCGAUAAUAUAUACAAAUAAACUCACUAUGCGCAAGGGGCAGAUCUUAUCAACUAUCCUAGUUGAUGAUUAAGCGGGGAAUCAAUGUGCCGGUUUAACAAAACCUUCAUGAAAAUUAUUUGUUAGAUAGACUCAAUGCCUAGUCUCACAAUGAUUUACGAAUAUACUUGAAAAUAAAUAAUUUUAGAAUUCCAUUUAAGUUUGAUGGGUUACUUGACUUCAAACAGAAUUAAGAAUAUUGGAUAUCGAAUUUUAUGUUUGAAAACAUAAUUUUAUUUAUUUUAUUUAUUCUGACGGGUAUUAAAUUAUCUCAACCCCCUUAUUUUUGGUCAUGGGCCGGGUUUUAAGGUUUUACAUUACAUGGUCUUGAUUAGUAGAAUGGGAUCAUCCUUAGACCUAACUUCUCAACACGAGAUGUAGCAUCUUUAACUUUGAUGAAUUUGACGAAUAUGGUCUUAGCCACAUCAUUGGUGAGAACUAGAACUUGUUGUGGUGUAGUUCCCAAUAGUGGGAUGGAUCCAACGUUUCCGGCAGAAGUGGUCAAUUUGUAAAUGUUUGUUCCAUCUUCUUCUCCGACUUUCUCUAUCUUAAACCGGCUAUUUGGUUCCUCAGGUCUACCACCGAUGAGAAUUGGAGGCUCAAUGAUAUACCGUGCUUCAUAGACUUCCCAGAACUUGGAUAGCUCCUUACAGUCGUUGGACUUGAACUCGAUGGUUAUACUGAAAUUUGUUUUGACAACUUCUAAUGGCGUGAUGAACCCCGGUGGAUAUGCUAUGCUAACUGGCACUCCCGGUUCUCCCGUAAAUGUUUCGCUAAUACCACGUGGUUCACAAAAGGGAUUUAUACCAGCAAGUGGAGCAAGACUACCGCCGUUAAUCCCGUUACUGAUCGGUUGUAUGUAGUAUUGUUCUUUGAGUCGAACUUCGUUCCCAUUGCUGUCCCUUACCGAUUCUUCUCCGUGGGUGCAGACAGCUGCAGCCAACAGGAGAAUGAGGAGAAAAGAGGCCAAUGAUGUCAUGAUUGCCAUUGUUUUUCUUUGUUUGUUUGAGUUGAGUUAUAGAGAUCAUACACAUUGUAUCCGUAUUUAUAGGAAGUCUUGGGGUUAAAUUUUAAACCGCUUAAUGUUCAAAAGAAGAUUGAAAAUCUUUCAUUUCUGUUAAAUAAAUAUCUACAGUAAUCAGCUUUAAAAAAAAUUUCAAAGGUUUUUUUAUUACUCACGUCGCAUUCUGAUCAUUCAUUCAUUUUAGCUGUAAGGGUUAAAAAUAGAGGUUUAGACUUUAUGCUAUUCAAUUCCAUCUUCGAUUUUUAACACGAGGAUCAUGCAAAACGGUUCUUGUCAAAUAAUUGAUGGGAAGAAGACAAUAACUUCAUACAGAGUGAUGGGAUGGAGGAUACAAAGUAUGAAUGAUUCUAGACAUCUUUGUCUUUUUUCUCUCUGUUAAAUAGUUACUAAAAACGAAAAAGAAAAGAAACCUAAUUCUUUCCGUCGGACUAUAUAUAUAUAUCAAUAGGAAAAUUCCAGUUUUGUAAGUAACCGUAUCAAGAAUAAGAGCAUCUCCAGUUUCAAAAAAAAAAAAGAAUAAGACAUCUCCAAAACAAACUCUAUAAUUUCAAGCACAAAGUUUUUUGCUCUAAAAAAAAAAAACUUCAAAACUUUAUAUUUGAAGUUUCAUCUUUUUAUUUACAUUUUAGUACUUACAAUUAACUAUAUAUCACAUUUAUAAUUUUUAAGUAUUUUAUCAUUUAUUAUUUUAAUCCGUAAAAUUUUAUAUCUCAUAAAUUUUUCGAAUUUGUUUUUAUAAAUUCAAGUUUUACACAUAAAAUUAAAUAAUUUUUUUAAUAAGAUUUAUUAUAUUUUAAAACUAGUAUUAGACAACAAGAAUAUUACAAAAAAACUUAAUAUUUUUUUUAAAAGGUACAUGAAGACACAAUUAUUACACAAAUUUAAAUAUUACAACAAUACUAAUUGUCUCAUAAAUUUGCUUUCGAAUCUCCAAAAUGUUAUCCAAACAAAUUUUGUAUAACCGAAUUAUGAGCAUUACAUAAAUAAUUUUAUGGAAUAAUAUGGUAUUUUACUUGUAGUUUAACAUUGAAUUAUGUAUUUCUAUUUAUAAUUUUAUAUUUUAGCGUCAGAUUUUAUAAAUUAAUAUUACUGUAAUAUUUAUAUAUAUGUGCUAGUUAUUUAUAAUUUUUAAUGAAUUUACGUUAAUUAUGAUAAAUAUAGAGACGAUAGUGUAAAAUACAAAAAAAAUUGAAGUUAAGUUCGAAGUUUUGGUUUUUGAGAAGAACUCUUGAAACUUCAAAUAUAGAGUUUUGCAAACUUCAAAAUAGAGAGAGUGCUUUUAGAGAUGCUCUAAAAAAGACUUUCUAUUUUAGAGUUUGUAAAACUCUAUAUUUGAAGUUUCAAGGUGUUCUUAUCUAAAAACAAAACUUCAAAUUUAACUUGAAAAUUAUUUGUGAUUUACACUAAGAUCCUUAUAUUUGUCAUAAUUAAUAUAAAUCCAUUAAAGUUUUAUAAAUGAUUAGCACAUAUAUAAAAAUAUUACAGUAAUAUUAUUAAUAAAAUCUUACACUAAAAUAUAAAAUUAUAAGUAGUAAUACAUACUUAGUUAUUAAAGUACAAGCAAAAUAUCACAUUAUUCCAUAAAAUUAUUUUGGCAAUGAUCCACUUUCAAUUACACAAAAUUUGUUUGGAAAAUAUUUUAGAGGUUCGAGAGGAAAUUUACUAGAUUAUUAGUAUUGUUGUAAUAUUUAAAUUUGUGCAAUAAUUAUGUCUUCACGUAUCUUUUCAAAAAUGUUUUUUAUUAAGUUUCUUUUAUAAUAUUCUUGUUGUCUAAUUCUAGUUUUAAGAUAAAAUUCUUUGAAGAUUUUGGAUCAAUAAGUUGUAUUUUUAAGAUAAAAUUCUCAAAAAUUCUAUUUUAGGAAAGUUUUAUUUUUAUUGAGAAAUAUUGUAGAUUUGGGGUUCUGAUUUAGAAAUUAGAACAACGAGAAUUUUUGUUGAUAAAUGAGCAUUCUUUUAAAAGUUUUGAUCAAUAGGUUGUAUGUUUUAGAUAAAAUUCUCAAAAAUUCUAUUUUUAGAAAGUUUUCAUUUUUAUAGAGAAAUAUUGUAGAUUUGGGGUUGUGAUUUAGAAUUUUGGAUAACAAGAAUUUUUGUUGAUAGAUGAGUAUUCUUUGAGGAUUUUUGAUCAAUAAGUUGUAUUUUUAAGAUAAAAUUCUCAAAAAUUCUAUUUUAGGAAAGUUUUUAUUUUUAUUGAGAAAUAUUGUAGAUUUGGGGUUCUGAUUUAGAAAUUAGGAUAACAUGAAUUUUUGUUGAUAGAUGAGUAUUCUUUUAGAUUUUUUGAUCAAUGAAUUUUUGUUGAUAGAUGAGUAGGAAAGUUUUAUUUUUAUUGAGAAAUAUUGUAGAUUUGGGGUUCUGAUUUAGAAAUUAGGACAACAAGAAUUUUUGUUGAUAGAUGAGUAUUCUUUUAAAAGUUUUGAUCAAUAGGUUGUAUAUUUUAGAUAAAAUUCUCAAAAAUUCUAUUUUUGGAAAGUAUUCAUUUUUGUGAAUAAUAGUGUGGAUUUGGGGUUUUGAUUUAGAAAUUAGGAUAACAAGAAUUGUUUGUUGAUAGAUGAGUAUUCAUUUAGAUUUUUUUGAUCAAUAGUUGUAUUUUUUAAAUAUAAUUCUCAAAAGUUCUAUUUUAUGAAAGUUUUCAUUUUCUAUAGAAAUAUUGUAGAUUUAGGGUUCUGAUUUAGAAAUGAGGAUAACAAUAUUUUUUGUUGAUACAUCAGUAUUUUUUAGAUUUUUUUUAUCAAUAGGUUGUAUAUUUUAGAAACAAUUUCAAAAAUUCUAUUUUUAGAAAGUUUUCAUUUUUAUAGAAAAAUAUUGUUGAUUUGGGGUUGUGAUUUAGAAUUUUGGAUAACAAGAAUUUUUUUUGAUUGAUGAGUAUUCUAUAAGGAUUUUUGAUCAAUAGGUUGUAUUUUUUAGAUAAAAUUCUCAAAAAUUCUAUUUUAAGAAAGUUUUUAUUUUUAUUUAGAAAUAUUGUAGAUUUGGGGUUCUGAUUUAUAAAUUAAGAUAACAAGAAUUUUUGUUGAUAGAUAAGUAUUCUUUUAGGAUUUUUGAUCAAUAAGUUGUAUUUUUUAGAUAAAAUUCUCAAAAAUUCUAUUUUAGGAAAGUUUUUUUAUUUUUAUUGAGAAAUAUUGUAGAUUUGGGGUUCUGGUUUAGAAAUUAGUACAACAAGAAUUUUUGUUGAUAGAUGAUCAUUCUUUUAAAAGUUUUGAUCAAUAGGUUGAAUAUUUUAGAUAAAAUUCUCAAAAAUUCUAUUUUUGGAAAGUUUUCAUUUUUAUAGCGAAAUAUUGUAGAUUUGGGGUUGUGAUUUAGAAUUUUGGAUAACAAAAUUUUUUGUUGAUAGAUGAGUAUUCUUUGAGGAUUUUUGAUCAAUAAGUUGUAUUUUUAAGGUAAAAUUCUCAAAAAUUCUAUUUUAGGAAAGUUUUUAUUUUUAUUGAGAAAUAUUGUAGAUUUGGGGCUCUGAUUUAGAAAUUAGGACAACAAGAAUUUUUGUUGAUAAAUGAGCAUUCUUUUAAAAGUUUUGAUCAAUAGGUUGUAUAUUUUAGAUAAAAUUCUCAAAAAUUCUAUUUUUGGAAAGUUUUCAUUUUUGUGAAUAAUAGUGUGGAUUUGAGGUUUUGAUUAAGAAAUUAGGAUAACAAGAAUUGUUUGUUGAUAGAUGAGUAUUAUUUUAGAUUUUUUGAUCAAUUUUUUAAAUAUAAUUCUCAAAAAUUCUGUUUUAGGAAAGUUUUAUUUUUCUAAAAAAAUAUUGUAGAUUUGGGGUUGUGAUUUAGAAAUUAAGAUAACAAUAUUUUUAGUUGAUAGAUGAGUAUUUUCUUUAGAUUUUUUGAUCAAUAGGUUGUAUAUUUUAGAUAAAAUUCUCAAAAAUUCUAUUUUUAGAAAGUUUUCAUUUUUAUAGCGUAAUAUUGUUGAUUUAGGGUUGUGAUUUAGAAUUUAGGAUAACAAGAAUUUUUGGUGAUAGAAGAGUAUUCAUUGAGGAUUUUUGAUCAAUAAGUUGUAUUUUUAAGAUAAAAUUCUCAAAAAUUCUGUUUUAGGAAAAUUUUAUUUUUAUUGAGAAAUAUUGUAGAUUUGGGGUUCUGAUUUAGAAAUUAGGACAACAAGAAUUUUUGUUGAUAGAUGAGCAUUCUUUUAAAAGUUUUGAUCAAUAGGUUGUAUAUUUUAGAGAAAAUUCUCAAAAAUUCUAUUUUUGGAAAGUUUUCAUUUUAUAGAGAAAUAUUGUAGAUUUGGGGUUGUGAUUUAGAAUUUAGGAUAACAAGAAUUUUUGUUGAUAUAUAAGUAUUCUUUAAGGAUUUUUGAUCAAUAAGUUGUAUUUUUAAGAUAUUAUUCUCAAAAAUUCUAUUUUAGGAAAGUUUUCAUUUUUUUGUAGAAAUGUUAUAGAUUUGAAGUUGUGAUUUUGAAAUUAGUAUAACAAGAAUUUUUGUUGAUAGAUGAGUAUUCUUUUAAAAGUUUUGAUCAAUACGUUGUAUAUUUUAGAUAAAAUUCUCAAAAGUUCUAUUUUUGGAAAGUUUUCAUUUUUGUGAAUAAUAGUGUGGAUUUGGGGUUUUGAUUUAGAAAUUAGGAUAACAAGAAUUGUUUGUUGUUAGAUGAGUAUUCUUUUAGAUUUUUUAUCAAUUGUUGUAUUUUUUGGAUAUGAUUCUCAAAAGUUCUAUUUUAGGAAAGUUUUCAUUUUCUAUACAAAUAUUGUAGAUUUGGGGUUGUGAUUUAGAAAUUAGGAUAACAAUAUUUUUUGUUGAUAGAUGAGUAUUUUUUUAGAUUUUUUGAUCAAUAGGUUGUAUAUUUUAGAAAAUUUUAUUUUUGGAAAGUUUUCAUUUUUAUAGCGAAAUAUUGUAGAUUUGGGGUUGUGAUUUAGAAUUUAGGAUAACUAGAAUUUUUGUUGAUAGAUGAGUAUUCUUUUAAAAGUUUUGAUCAAUACGUUGUAUAUUUUAGAUACAAUUCUCAAAAGUUCUAUUUCUGGAAAGUUUUCAUUUUUGUGAAUAAUAGUGUGGAUUUGGGGUUUUGAUUUAGAAAUUAGGAUAACAAGAAUUGUUUGUUGUUAGAUGAGUAUUCUUUUAGAUUUUUUGAUCAAUUGUUGUAUUUUUUGAAUAUAAUUCUCAAAAGUUCUAUUUUAGGAAAGUUUUCAUUUUCUAUA
rnacentral:lncRNA from 1 species